rnacentral:rRNA from 1 species
GACGAACGCUGGCGGCGUGCUUAACACAUGAAAGUCGAACGGAAAGGCCCUGCUUUUGUGGGGUGCUCGAGUGGCGAACGGGUGAGUAACACGUGAGUAACCUGCCCUUGACUUUGGGAUAACUUCAGGAAACUGGGGCUAAUACCGGAUAGGAGCUCCUGCUGCAUGGAGGGGUUUGGAAAGGUUCGGCGGUUGGGGAUGGACUCGCGGCCUAUCAGCUUGUUGGUGGGGUAGUGGCUUACCAAGGCUUUGACGGGUAGCCGGCCUGAGAGGGUGACCGGCCACAUUGGGACUGAGAUACGGCCCAGACUCCUACGGGAGGCAGCAGUGGAGAAUAUUGCACACCGGGCGGAAGCCUGUUGCAGCAACGCCGCGUCCGGGAUGACGGCAUUCGGGUUGGAAACCGCUUUCGCCUGUGACGAAGCGUGAGUGACGGUAAUCGGUAAAGAGGCACCGGAUAACUACGUG